UUCCCCAAGUCUUACACUGCAGCGCCUCC
rnacentral:piRNA from 1 species